AGUGAACGCUGGCGGUAGGCCUAACACAUGCAAGUCGAACGGCAGCACAGUAAGAGCUUGCUCUUACGGGUGGCGAGUGGCGGACGGGUGAGGAAUACAUCGGAAUCUACUUUUUCGUGGGGGAUAACGUAGGGAAACUUACGCUAAUACCGCAUACGACCUACGGGUGAAAGCAGGGGAUCUUCGGACCUUGCGCGAUUGAAUGAGCCGAUGUCGGAUUAGCUAGUUGGCGGGGUAAAGGCCCACCAAGGCGACGAUCCGUAGCUGGUCUGAGAGGAUGAAUCGCCACACUUGAACUUAAAAAACGUUCCGACUCCUUACGGAAGGCACCAUUGGGAAUAUUUGAACAAUGGCCGAAACCCGAUCCCACCCUAACGCCUUGGUUAAAGAAGCCUUCCGGUUUUAAAACCCUUUUUUUUGGAAAAAAAAACAACCAGUUAAUACCCCGCUUUUUUGACCGUAACCAAAGAAUAAACAACCGCCAACCUCCUU
rnacentral:rRNA from 1 species